rnacentral:rRNA from 1 species
CUGUCGUCAGCUCGUGUCGUGAGAUGUUGGGUUAAGUCCCGCAACGAGCGCAACCCUUUGUCUUUAAUUGCCAUCAUUCAGUUGGGCACUUUUAAAGAGACUGCCGGCUAAAAGUCGGAGAAGUGGGGAUGACGUCAAAUCAUCAUGCCCCUUAUGACCUGGGCUACACACGUGCUACAAUGGGCGGUACAAGGGUCGCGAACCCGCGAGGGGGAGCCAAUCCCAAAAAGCCGCUCUCAGUUCGGAUUGCAGGCUGCAACUCGCCUGCAUGAAGCCGGAAUCGCUAGUAAUCGCGGAUCAGCACGCCGCAGUGAAUACGUUCCCGGGCCUU